rnacentral:rRNA from 1 species
CCUACGGGAGGCAGCAGUGGGGAAUAUUGCGCAAUGGGCGAAAGCCUGACGCAGCAACGCCGCGUGAGGGAUGACGGCCUUCGGGUUGUAAACCUCUUUCAGCAGGGACGAAGCGAAAGUGACUGUACCUGCAGAAGAAGCGCCGGCUAACUACGUGCCAGCAGCCGCGGUAAUACGUAGGGCGCAAGCGUUGUCCGGAUUCAUUGGGCGUAAAGAGCUCGUAGGCGGUCUGUCGCGUCGGAUGUGAAAACCCGGAGCUCAACUCCGGGCCUGCAUUCGAUACGGGCAGACUAGAGUACUGCAGGGGAGACUGGAAUUCCUGGUGUAGCGGUGGAAUGCGCAGAUAUCAGGAGGAACACCGGUGGCGAAGGCGGGUCUCUGGGCAGAAACUGACGCUGAGGAGCGAAAGCGUGGGGAGCGAACAGGAUUAGAUACCCUGGUAGUCCACGCCGUAAACGGUGGGCACUAGGUGUGGGGACCAUUCCACGGUCUCUGCGCCGCAGCUAACGCAUUAAGUGCCCCC